UUAGUGGCAGUGGAGUAGCUGGUGGUUGUGGUCCUAGGGCUUACGGUCUCCAGUCAUGGUCUGGGAUCCCCUUGUCCAAGGUGUCCGGUCCCAGGUCCAGCUGGUGGAGUCCAGAGGGGUGUGUGAAAAAGCCAGAGACUCUCUCCACCUCUCCUGCAAAGCCUCCGGGUUCACCUUCAGCAGCUCCUGGAUGGGCUGGGUCCGACAGGCUCCUGGCAAGGGACUAGAAUGGGUCGCUCAGAUAAACCCCGGUGGGAGUGAUAUACGCUCCCUUGAUUCAGUGAAAGGCCGAUUCAUCAUCUGCAGGGACGAUUCCCAGAGUGAGCUGUAUCUGUCCGACCUGAAAGCCGAGGACACUGCCCACUAUUACUGUGCAAUAGUGAAACCCCCUUCUCCUGGCAGCCAUGCGGGGGCAGAAGUGACACACACCCUGCUUCGGGCUUAGGCAGGAGACCCGGCAACUGCGUGAAUGCAACACAAACCUACCAUUUGUUUAACACUCUUCUGCUACUCACACCUUUUUGUCAACUGUUUGAAAUGGGCCAUCCUGAUGAUCACUACAAAAGUUUUUUUUCUCCUGCUGAUAAUAGCCAACCUUAAUUGAUUUGUCUCGUUACAGUUGGUAUGGCAACCCCCAUCUUUUCAUGUUCUCUGCAUAUAUAGAUCUCCCUACUGUAUUUUCCACUCCAGGCAUCCGAUGAAGUGGGUUUUAGCCCAUGAAAGCUUA